AGUGAACGCUGGCGGUAGGCCUAACACAUGCAAGUCGAACGGCAGCACAGUAAGAGCUUGCUCUUACGGGUGGCGAGUGGCGGACGGGUGAGGAAUACAUCGGAAUCUACUUUUUCGUGGGGGAUAACGUAGGGAAACUUACGCUAAUACCGCAUACGACCUACGGGUGAAAGCAGGGGAUCUUCGGACCUUGCGCGAUUGAAUGAGCCGAUGUCGGAUUAGCUAGUUGGCGGGGUAAAGGCCCACCAAGGCGACGAUCCGUAGCUGGUCUGAGAGGAUGAUCAGCCACACUGGAACUGAGACACGGUCCAGACUCCUACGGGCGGCAGCAGUGGGGAAUAUUGGACGAUGGGCGCAAGCCUGAUCCAGCCAUACCGCGUGGGUGAAGAAGGCCUUCGGGUUGUAAAGCCCUUUUGUUGGGAAAGAAAAGCAGCAGGUUAAUACCCCGCUGUUCUGACGGUACCCAAAGAAUAAGCACCGGCUAACUUCGUG
rnacentral:rRNA from 1 species